UACAGAGGGUGCGAGCGUUAAUCGGAUUUAUUGGGCGUAAAGAGCUCGUAGGCGGCUUGUCGCGUCGACUGUGAAAUCCCGCGGCUCAACUGCGGGUCUGCAGCCGAUACGGGCAGGCUAGAGUUCGGUAGGGGAGACUGGAAUUCCUGGUGUAGCGGUGAAAUGCGCAGAUAUCAGGAGGAACACCGAUGGCGAAGGCAGGUCUCUGGGCCUUACCUGACGCUGAGGAGCGAAAGCGUGGGGAGCAAACAGG
rnacentral:rRNA from 1 species